rnacentral:rRNA from 1 species
CGGGUGNGUAAUGCGUGACCAACCUGCCCCAUGCUCCAGAAUAGCUCUUGGAAACGGGUGGUAAUGCUGGAUGCUCCAACUUGACGCAUGUCUUGUUGGGAAAGUGUUUAGUGGCAUGGGAUGGGGUCGCGUCCUAUCAGCUUGUAGGCGGGGUAAUGGCCCACCUAGGCUUCGACGGGUAGCCGGCCUGAGAGGGCGGACGGCCACAUUGGGACUGAGAUACGGCCCAGACUCCUACGGGAGGCAGCAGCC